rnacentral:rRNA from 1 species
UGGGGAAUAUUGCGCAAUGGGCGGAAAGCCUGACGCAGCGACGCCGCGUGAGGGAUGAAGGUCUUCGGAUCGUAAACCUCUGUCAGCAGGGAAGAACGGUCACUGUGCUAAUCAGCAGUGAAUUGACGGUACCUGCAAAGGAAGCACCGGCUAACUCCGUGCC